UCCAGAGUUUACCACUGAGGUUGAGGCCAGGAUUCACUCCAACGCAGAUUAAUGACAUGCACACAGUGAUACACUUUUAAAGGCAAUUUUACUGACGUUUGCUGAGAUCCCAUUCACUGUUAAUGCCCCAGAUUUUUCCUAAAGUAGAAAUCCCCUUAAAAAGUUAAUCACAGUGCACAUAUAGUUUAUCUGAGAUUGUUUGAAUCCCAGAGCUGAUAGUAAGAGUGUCAUUCCACAAAUAGAGUGCCUUUUUAUUUCCCCCAGACAUUGUGCGUGUACAUUUUAAGAACUAAAUUUAACAGUUGGAUCACAUACUGAACAUCUAAACUAAAUCAUGUUAAAAAUGUCAAUAGCCAUGUGUUUUCAUUUAAAUAAAUGAUUUGUUCUCUGAAAAUCCCUAUUUUGGAAUUUCCUACGUAAGGUUAUUAUAGUUGUGUUUAGAUUCUUAUUAAAAAUUCUGUUUAGUUGAAGUUAAUUUUCAGACCUGAUUUGCUAGUUUAUUCAAUUAAAUUUUAGUUGUAUCAAGAUAUUUAUAUUUAGUUUCAAUUAAAAUGUUUGUGUUAAGAACAGAAAGCAUGCAAGGCUUGAGUUGUACAGUUAUGUAGGUGUUUUUUGGGAUGUCACUUCAUCCAAUGGGGGCAGUAAUAGUUAAGGUGAUGGAUCAGUUUUGGUUUAAAUGACAGUCAUUCUCAAUGUGAUUUGGAUUUGAAAGGAAUAGCGCCAAGACAAAGAAAUGGUGGAAUGAAACACUCUUGACAAAGUUUACACAAAUCCUAUGCUUUUUCACCUCAGUAGCACAUGUUCUGCAUGUUUUUCUUUAGCUCUACUUUACACAAAUGUUUGUAGCCCCCCUCCACACUAGUAAGGGAAAAAAAGAUGUCUGACAUCUAUACAGACUUCAGUUCAAUAUCUAGUUUUGAUUUACAUUUGGUUGAGUUGUCAACUAACUACAAUUCAAUGUGAAAUCAACCAAGUGUCACCAUGCCAUUGAAUUUCGGUUAAAUGUUGGGUGAAAAAAAUACAAAAUUACUGACUUUUUGCAAAUCCAAUCAGUCAUCCAAAGUUGAGACAACCAGUUAAGAAAUUAGGUGGUGUUUUUUUCUUGUCUUACAAUAGCGUGCUAUUAUAUUUGUUUAUUUUAUCUAGGAUACUAUCAUUUUGUGAUCUUGCAGAUCUUGAUUCAGCUUUGAUCUAACUUUAUUAAACGAGUACCAUUCACCAGAGUAGCCUGUUCUCUGAGUAGAGCAGAGACUGUAAGACCUUUAACUGCUGGCAAAGAGGGGUCCAGUAAAGUCGGAUCGGCAGCCACUGUGAUAGUACAUGCAAGAAGAAUCAAGUUAGCUACCUUGCUGAUUUAUUGCCUGGUUCAAAGUCAAUCCUGUAACGUGAACUGAACUCAUGUAAACCUGUUAUGCUAAAACAAUGAAUUUUUGUAAAAAAAAAUUAAGAAAACAUUGAAUAUUAAUAGUCAAAUCAAAGUGUAUAAACAGGUGAGUUGUUUCUACUCUUUUGGGGCAUUUUCUGGUGUUUUGUGAUGGAAAACUGAGUGGUUUGAGGGUAACAUGUCAACCUUGUUAACCAAAGAUAUAUGAACUUGUUAAAACCUAUUGCAUUCAAUUGCCCCUCCCUAAUUGCACACAAAAAGUUUCCAUUCCCCCUGUCACAAAGGGAUUUAUGGCAGAUUAAAUAUGAAAUUGUCAACCCUGUUACUGUCAACCUUAGUCACUAUAGUAAUUUCUUGUAAUUCGACCUCGAUGGGAAAACUUGUUUUUUGUGACUAGUGCUUAGAGCUUUUUGAGGUUGGUUCGAUUAUUUUUUUUAAACUUGGUUUUUGAUCAUUUUUUUAAAUUAUAAAUGCACUAUGCAUUAUGCGAGUUGAAUGCUGUAACACAUAAAACAAUUAAUAAAAGUCCCAUGAUGGUAGUGACUGCCCAUUACUGCUUAUCACUUAUCUCAUCAUUUAUUCACAUUACUUUAAUAAAAUAUUUCAGUUGCAUAUAUUACACUUGUUGAAUAUUCGUUUCUGAUUGGCUAGAAGGGCAUUCUAGAAUGGGCAUUAAAACCAGGACAGUUGGAAAAGAUAUCCGGACAGCUUGAAAUCAUGAUGCAAUGUGCCUACACAUGCAGACCAUACUUGCUACAAAAGGUACAGAAAGCUAAACCAAACAACCACACAAAACGAAGUUGGAUACAUUGUAAACGCAGGUUCAACAAGAAAAAACGUCCAUUCUCAACAGUUAUUCUGGAUGCACAGUUCAUGACAGUGUGAGCUGUAGCUAGUCAGCAAAGCAAGGAAAAACGUCCAUUCUGGAUGCACAGGUCAUGACAGUGUGAGCUGUAGCUAGUCAGCAAAGCAAGGAAAAACGUCCAUUCUGGAUGCACAGGUCAUGACAGUGUGAGCUGUAGCUAGUCAGCAAAGCAAGGAAAAACGUCCAUUCUGGAUGCACAGGUCAUGACAGUGUGAGCUGUAGCUAGUCAGCAAAGCAAGGAAAAACGUCCAUUCUGGAUGCACAGGUCAUGACAGUGUGAGCUGUAGCUAGUCAGCAAAGCAAGGAAAAACGUCCAUUCUGGAUGCACAGGUCAUGACAGUGUGAGCUGUAGCUAGUCAGCAAAGCAAGGAAAAACGUCCAUUCUGGAUGCACAGGUCAUGACAGUGUGAGCUGUAGCUAGUCAGCAAAGCAAGGAAAAACGUCCAUUCUGGAUGCACAGGUCAUGACAGUGUGAGCUGUAGCUAGUCAGCAAAGCAAGGAAAAACGUCCAUUCUGGAUGCACAGGUCAUGACAGUGUGAGCUGUAGCUAGUCAGCAAAGCAAGGAAAAACGUCCAUUCUGGAUGCACAGGUCAUGACAGUGUGAGCUGUAGCUAGUCAGCAAAGCAAGGAAAAACGUCCAUUCUGGAUGCACAGGUCAUGACAGUGUGAGCUGUAGCUAGUCAGCAAAGCAAGGAAAAACGUCCAUUCUGGAUGCACAGGUCAUGACAGUGUGAGCUGUAGCUAGUCAGCAAAGCAAGGAAAAACGUCCAUUCUGGAUGCACAGGUCAUGACAGUGUGAGCUGUAGCUAGUCAGCAAAGCAAGGAAAAACGUCCAUUCUGGAUGCACAGGUCAUGACAGUGUGAGCUGUAGCUAGUCAGCAAAGCAAGGAAAAACGUCCAUUCUGGAUGCACAGGUCAUGACAGUGUGAGCUGUAGCUAGUCAGCAAAGCAAGGAAAAACGUCCAUUCUGGAUGCACAGGUCAUGACAGUGUGAGCUGUAGCUAGUCAGCAAAGCAAGGAAAAACGUCCAUUCUGGAUGCACAGGUCAUGACAGUGUGAGCUGUAGCUAGUCAGCAAAGCAAGGAAAAACGUCCAUUCUGGAUGCACAGGUCAUGACAGUGUGAGGUGUAGCUAGUCAGCAAAGCAAGGAAAAACGGAACAUAUAGACCGAAGAACUGGGUCGUGUCCAUAAAUAUCUAAGUAGUCGAACAAACGACUGGGUCGCGUCUCUAGAAACCAAAGUAUGAAUUUGCUUAUAAAGAUUAAAAUAAACAGAAAAAUAUUAUUUAUACCGGUAAAUGUGUGCUUUAGCAUUAUUUUCUUUUGGAACUGUGGUAUAAGCGAUAAAUGCCUCCGUUCUGUACCUAACUUUGGAAAAAUUAUCUCAGCAAAGGGACUUCCACCUCCUCCCGCUACAUUGUCUAUUAACUCCAAGGUAAUGUACAGACUUUGGCAUUUGUCCCAUACUUAUUUGAUUAGUUUAAUAUUUUAUUCUAAGUCAUCAUCUCAUGUCUAUAGAGCUGUUGCCUAUGCUGUUUGACAAAAUCACUAUUUUAGUAGUUCUAAGAAAAUGAGGCAUACUUUUAUGACUACUGAAUACCAACUAUCAAUCACUUAGAUCAUGUAUUUUCAGAUACCUUGAAGCAACUGCUCUCUAUCCCUCUCGAUUGCACUUUCUUCUGUCUCUUCUUUCCGUCUCGUUGUCUUGCCCACACAACCAAACAAGUAGGCGCACAAUGGAAUGGUCAUUAUAGUUAAUUACCACGUUUUCUGCGCUAACCUAUGUAGAAUAUUGGCCUUUUGGAAACUACAACUCCCUACGACAUUGCACAGUUUGGGCUUGAUCUGAUUUCUCUAGAGAAACUAUGCAUUGAGCUCAUUUUGUUUUUUACAAAAUGGAAUUUAAUUAAUUUAAGAGAUGUGGGUCAUUUAGUUGUUUUAAAAAUGUCAAACAUUUUGGUUCAUCGCUCAGUAAUAGUUGUGAAGUUGAACAUAACAUGAAUGUAAACAUUUUGUGAAAUAAAUAAAUAUUUGACAUUAACAAAAAGGCAUUCUAUUUAUAGAAUGAACCAAGGAACAGGUCAUUAAAUAUACAA